rnacentral:piRNA from 1 species
AGGGUGACAUUUGCAAAGAAAAGACUGUUC